rnacentral:rRNA from 1 species
UACGUAGGGUGCAAGCGUUGUCCGGAAUUAUUGGGCGUAAAGAGCUCGUAGGCGGUUUGUCGCGUCGGCUGUGAAAACUCGGGGCUCAACCUCGAGACGUCGGUUGAAACCGUAUGGCUAGAGUCCGGAAGAGGAGAGUGGAAUUCCCGGUGUAGCGGUGAAAUGCGCAGAUAUCGGGAAGAACACCCGUGGCGAAGGCGGCUCUCUGGGACGGUACUGACGCUGAGACGCGAAAGCGUGGGGAGCGAACAGG